CAAGGAAUUAAGGGUUUAUGGGGAAUACCUUGGCAUUCAGAAACGAUGAAGGACGUGGUUACCGACGAAACGCUUCGGGGAGCUGGAAACAAGCAAUGAUCCGGAGGUAUCCGAAUAAGGAAACUUUAAAAACUUCUUAUUGAAUUCAUAGAUAAGGAAGAGUGAACCUAGAGAAUUGAAACAUCUUAGUAACUAGAGGAAAAGAAAGUAAAAACGAUUCCCGUAGUAGCGGCGAGCGAACUGGGACCAGCCUAAACUUUAAAAAGGGUAGUGGGACAACGUUUAAGAUCAAUGUGAUAAUUAGGAGAAUGGGGUGGAAUACCCAACCAUAGGAAGUGAUAGUCUUGUAUCCGAAAAUUUGAACAGUCUAGUUGUAUCCCAAGUAGCAUGGGGCACGUGGAAUCCCGUGUGAAUCUGCGAGGACCACCUCGUAAGGCUAAAUAUUCCUGAAUGACCGAUAGUGAAAUAGUACCGUGAGGGAAAGGUGAAAA
rnacentral:rRNA from 16 species